rnacentral:lncRNA from 1 species
GGGAGAUUGCUUCAGCUAAUUCUAGGAUGCGCAGUCAACUGUGAGAAGAAACAAGAACAUAUUAAAAAUAUAAUGACCCUGGAAGAAUCUGUUCAACAUGUGGUCAUGACUGCAAUUCAGGAGUUGAUGAGUAAAGAAAUAGUGAGCUCUCCUGCAAGUGACGCUGUAGGAGAAUUAGAGCAGCAGCUAAAAAGGGCUUUAGAAGAGCUUCAGGAGGCCCUAGCAGAAAAGGAAGAGCUGAAGCAGAGGUGCCAGGAACUGGAUAUGCAGGUAACUGCACUUCAGGAUGAGAAGAAUUCCCUGGUCUCUGAGAAUGAGAUGAUGAAUGAAAAAGUUCGGUAUGGUGAUUUCAUCUGCUUUUCUCAGAGUGAUUCAGAAGAAGCAUCAGGUGUAGCUUUGUGUGCUUCCAGUGAAUUUCUUCUUUCUACAAUUGUAGUUUAAGGGAUGGUCAACGAAUCUGACUUCCUGUGUCCUUCACCUUUUUACUGCCUUCUGAGCUCGUCAGGUUUUCCUGCUGACCUUUUAUUGUUUGUCAGUGUUUUGUUAUGUGGACAAUGCCUGCACAAUGGUAGAGACUGUAGUGCUACCUUCAAUACUCUGUUGUGCCAUCUAUCAAACAAUCCAGAGAAAUAGUCAAGUAAGGCCUACUUCUAAAUAUUUAAUUAUGUUAAAUUAUGUUAAUUGUAUUGUUAAUACUGCUACUAAUAAAUUAAGUAUAUCAAAUACAUUA